rnacentral:rRNA from 1 species
AGUGAACGCUGGCGGUAGGCCUAACACAUGCAAGUCGAACGGCAGCACAGUAAGAGCUUGCUCUUACGGGUGGCGAGUGGCGGACGGGUGAGGAAUACAUCGGAAUCUACUUUUUCGUGGGGGAUAACGUAGGGAAACUUACGCUAAUACCGCAUACGACCUACGGGUGAAAGCAGGGGAUCUUCGGACCUUGCGCGAUUGAAUGAGCCGAUGUCGGAUUAGCUAGUGGGCGGGGUAAAGGCCCACCAAGGCGACGAUCCGUAGCUGGUCUGAGAGGAUGGUCAGCCACACUGGAUGUGAGACACGGUCCAGACUCCUACAGGGGGCCGCGGUGGAGAAUAUUGGACAAUGGGCGCAAGCCUGAUCCAGCCAUACCGCGUGAAUGAAGAAGGCCUUCGGGUUGUAAAGUCCUUUUGUUGGGAAAGAAAAGCAGCAGUUUAAUACCCCGCUGUUCUGACGGUACCCAAAGAAUAAGCACCGGCUAACUUCGUG